rnacentral:rRNA from 1 species
CACGUAGGCGGCCAUUCAAGUCAGAGGUGAAAGCCCGGGGCUCAACCCCGGAACUGCCUUUGAAACUAGAUGGCUUGAAUCUUGGAGAGGCGAGCGGAAUUCCGAGUGUAGAGGUGAAAUUCGUAGAUAUUCGGAAGAACACCAGUGGCGAAGGCGACUCGCUAGACAAGUAUUGACGCUGAGGUGCGAAAGCGUGGGGAGCAAACA